GUUAUCAACUUUAUUACCCUGAAACUGACCCACAAAUCAAACAUCACAAUCAUGAAGUAUAAAUAGAACUAUUCCAUUUAACAAACUAAUUAAUAGCGUAAAUUGUAGACAUCAACAAAAUUUCAAUUAUCCUUGGAAUAGAAUUGCUCAAUUAGCAAGAACACAGUUCCUUCAAAGCUCUCAUUUUUUGCAAGAAAUUAAAGUGAAGAAGGCCAAACACCAACCACAAUAAAAAACCGCACCAACAAAGCGAACCCAAUUCGUGUCUCUUCCCCUAAAAGCAUUCCGAACAAAGCUGUAGCAGUAAAAGUUGUGGCAUUGGCGAUGGGAACAGCCAGUGAUAUCGGUGCAUUGCUUAGUAGAGCGAAGAAAGUGGCAGAUGCUGAGAGAUUGAGCAAG
rnacentral:misc_RNA from 1 species